AGUGAACGCUGGCGGUAGACCUAACACAUGCAAGUCGAACGGCAGCACAGGAGAGCUUGCUCUCUGGGUGGCGAGUGGCGGACGGGUGAGGAAUACAUCGGAAUCUACUCUGUCGUGGGGGAUAACGUAGGGAAACUUACGCUAAUACCGCAUAUGACCUACGGGUGAAAGCAGGGGACCUUCGGGCCUUGCGCGAUUGAAUGAGCCGAUGUCGGAUUAGCUAGUUGGCGGGGUAAAGGCCCACCAAGGCGACGAUCCGUAGCUGGUCUGAGAGGAUGAUCAGCCACACUGGAACUGAGACACGGUCCAGACUCCUACGGGAGGCAGCAGUGGGGAAUAUUGGACAAUGGGCGCAAGCCUGAUCCAGCCAUACCGCGUGGGUGAAGAAGGCCUUCGGGUUGUAAAGCCCUUUUGUUGGGAAAGAAAUCCAGCUGGCUAAUACCCGGUUGGGAUGACGGUACCCAAAGAAUAAGCACCGGCUAACUUCGUGCCAGCAGCCGCCGUAA
rnacentral:rRNA from 1 species